AUUGAACGCUGGCGGCAUGCUUUACACAUGCAAGUCGAACGGCAGCGCGGGCUUCGGCCUGGCGGCGAGUGGCGAACGGGUGAGUAAUGCAUCGGAACGUGCCCAGUAGUGGGGGAUAGCCCGGCGAAAGCCGGAUUAAUACCGCAUACGACCUGAGGGUGAACGCGGGGGACCGAAAGACCUCGCGCGAUUGGAGCGGCCGAUGUCGGAUUAGCUAGUUGGUGGGGUAAAGGCUUACCAAGGCGACGUUCCGUAGCUGGUCUGAGAGGACGGCCAGCCACACUGGGACUGAGACACGGCCCAGGCUCCUACGGGAGGCGGCAGUGGGGAAUUUUGGGCAAUGGGGGCAGACCUUAGCCAGCCAGGCCGCGUGCGGGAAGAAGGCCUUCGGGUUGUAAACCGCUUUUGUUCGGGAAGAAAUCCUCUGGGCUAAUACCCCGGGGGGAUGACGGUACCGGAAGAAUAAGCACCGGCUAACUACGUG
rnacentral:rRNA from 1 species